GUGAGGAAUAUUGCGCAAUGGAGGCAACUCUGACGCAGCCAUGCCGCGUGCAGGAAGAAGGCGCUACGCGUUGUAAACUGCUUUUAACCGGGAAGAAACCCCAGGACGUGUCCUGGGUUGACGGUACCGGAGGAAUAAGCACCGGCUAACUUCGUGCCAGCAGCCGCGGUAAUACGAAGGGUGCAAGCGUUAUCCGGAUUCAUUGGGUUUAAAGGGUGCGUAGGCGGAGCGUUAAGUCAGUGGUGAAAUCCUGCAGCUUAACUGUAGACUUGCCAUUGAUACUGGCGCUCUUGAGUGCGCCUGAAGUUGGCGGAAUGUGCCGUGUAGCGGUGAAAUGCUUAGAUAUGGCACAGAACACCAAUUGCGAAGGCAGCUCACUGAGGCGAUACUGACGCUGAGGCACGAAAGCGUGGGGAUCGAACAGGAUUAGAAACCCCAGUAGUCC
rnacentral:rRNA from 1 species